rnacentral:rRNA from 1 species
GCCUAACACAUGCAAGUCGAGCGAGAACCGGAGCUUCGGCUCCGGGGACAGCGGCGAACGGGUGAGUAACACGUGGAUAACCUGCCCUCGGCACCGGAAUAGCCCGGGGAAACCCGGAUUAAUGCCGGAUUGCCCCACAUCCCUGCGGGGAACGUGGGAAAAGGUAGCUUCGGCCUCUGGCCGAGGAUGGGUCCGCGGUGGAUUAGCUUGUUGGUGGGGUAAUGGCCUACCAAGGCGACGAUCCAUAGCUGGUCUGAGAGGACGAUCAGCCACACUGGGACUGAGACACGGCCCAGACUCCUACGGGAGGCAGCAGUGGGGAAUCUUGCGCAAUGGGCGAAAGCCUGACGCAGCGACGCCGCGUGCGGGAAGAAGGCCUUAGGGUUGUAAACCGCUUUCAGGAGGGACGAAGCCACUCGGGUGAAUAGCCCAGAGGGUGACGGUACCUCCAGAAGAAGCCCCGGCUAACUACGUGCCAGCAGCCGCGGUAAUACGUAGGGGGCAAGCGUUGUCCGGAUUCAUUGGGCGUAAAGAGCGUGUAGGCGGCCAGGUAGGUCGGUUGUGAAAACUGGANGCUCAACCUUCAGAGGUCGACCGAAACCAUCUGGCUAGAGUCCGGGAGAGGAGAGUGGAAUUCUGUGUAGCGUGAAAUGCGCAGAUAUCAGGAAGGACACCCGUGCGAAAGCGGCUCUCUGGACGGUACUGACGCUGAGACGCGAAAGCGUGGGGAGCGAACAGGAUUAGAUACCCUGGUAGUCCACGCCGUAAACGAUGGGCGCUAGGUGUGGGAGGUGUCGACUCCUUCCGUGCCGCAGCUAACGCAUUAAGCGCCCCGCCUGGGGAGUACGGCCGCAAGGCUAAACUCAAAGGAAUUGACGGGGGCCCGCACAAGCAGCGGAGCAUGUGGUUUAAUUGGAUGCAACGCCAAGACCCUUACCAAGGCAUGACAUGUUCGGGAAAGCUGGAGAAAUUCAGCCCUCCUUCGGGACCCGAUCACAGGUGGUGCAUGGCUGUCGUCAGCUCGUGUCGUGAGAUGUUGGGUUAAGUCCCGCAACGAGCGCAACCCCUGUCCCAUGUUGCCAGCGAGUAAAGUCGGGGACUCAUGGGAGACUGCCGGUGACAAAUCGGAGGAAGGUGGGGAUGAUGUCAAGUCAUCAUGCCCCUUAAGUCUUGGGCUACACACGUGCUACAUUGGCCGGUACAAAGGGCUGCAAUACCGUGAGGUUGAGCGAAUCCCAAAAAGCCGGUCCCGGUUCGGAUUGGAGGCUGCAACUCGCCUCCAUGAAGGCGGAGUUGCUAGUAAUCGCGGAUCAGCAACGCCGCGGUGAAUACGUUCCCGGGCCUUGUACACACCGCCCGUCACACCACGAAAGUCGGCAACACCCGAAGCCGGUGGGCUAACCCCUUGUGGGAGGCAGCCGUCGAAGGUGGGGUCGAUGAUUGGGGUGAAGUCGUAACAAGGUAGCCGUACCGGAAGGUGCGGCUGGAUCACCUCCUU